UCCUGCGCCAUCAGCAAAGGUGCAAUAAAAACAAUGGAUUUAAAGGGGAUUUCUGUAUCCUUCUCCAAGAUCCUGGAUAGUCACAUUGCAUUCAAUCAUCAUCUUCUAAACACAUCACAUUCUUCAAGUCUCAUUUAAUGCAACAGAUUAGUAAUAGAAGAAAGCAUGCAUUGGAUUACAACAAAUAUCAGAUGUAUAAAUUACAUUGCCGCGAUCGUCUUUAUUUCCUCGUGGUACAAACAACUAGCAGCAGCUGCAAUAACCAUCAAAUGUAAUACGAUUACUCCAUUUUUAGAUGUAAUAUGUUUCUAUCUUAGCUUCGUCGUUUCAUACAAUUAUAGCAGU